rnacentral:lncRNA from 1 species
ACCAUAUUUCCAAUGAGUGAAGUUUUAGACUCUUUACAUUUGGUACCACAAGUACCAUUAAUGGGGUUGUGGCUGGGCAGUAUAGUCAAGUGAUUCUCUGAAGGCAGAAAUAAAUAAGCAGAUCGUUUACUUUUUCAGUAUAACUCCACUUGUUAGGCUUUUAGCCUCUUCUUUCAACAUAGGUUUAAUAAAUAGGGAAUAAUCUUAACUAGCCACCACUGCCAGGUGGUGCUACUUCCCUUUCUGCUGUUUCAUGAUCCCACCACACUGUGUUAAUCCUCACCAGUGGUUGUCCUGUGAUUGGCUGCUGUAUUAUAGGCUGCGGUAAGCAGAAUAGUGACUCCCGAACCACGACCCCCAAACACGCAAAGAUGUCUACGUCCUAAUCCUUGGAAACUGUAAAAAUGUAACUUUACAUGGCAAAGGGGAAUUAAGAUUCCAGAUAGAAUUCAGUUUGCUAAUCAGCUGAUCUUAAAACAGGGAGAGUAUCCUGGGUUAUCUACAUGCACCCAAUGUAAUCAUGGAGUUUCUUAAAAGUGGGAGAGGGAGGCAGAAGAGAAGGCUGGAGUGACAAGAUUUGAGGACUGAGUCCAUUAUUGCUGAUUUUGAAGACGGAGGAAGGGCACGGUGAGCCAACAAAUGCAGGCAGCCUUUAGAAGCUGGAAAAGGCAAGGAAACAGUCUCCUAGAGUCUCCAGGAUGAAAUGUCGACCUACCAACACCUUCAUUUUAGCCCAGUGAGACCCAUCUAGGACUGCUGACCUCUAGAACUGUCCAAAAGCAGUAUGUGUUCUUCUUGACGCAGACACCAGAGAACUAAAAGAAGUUUGCUGCCCUCCUCACUUCCAUCCAACACACAAAGAAAUGUGCAGAAGUCACCAGAGAUCGAGAAGAAAGGACGUCUAAAAGUCACCACAGAAGAAUAUGACCUAACUAUAGAACAUAGCCAAUAGGAGAUCAUCCUUACAGCCCCAAAGGGCAGAAAAUGAAGUUGACUUAAUCAUCCACUUGUUAGCGCACCUUACUCUAUGAACUCAAAAUGCAGUGGAGAGAAAAGGGAUGGAAGAAAUUUGUUCAUAAUGAGCAAGCUAGGAAGACUGCUGCAAGUUUCCAAAAUUUCAGAUGGACUUUGUGAAUUGAGACUCUUAGAAAACUGCCAGUUUCUAUGUUUUGAUUUUCGUGAAAAUCAGAACCAAAGAGGAAAAGGUAAGUGAUAAUAUUUUUGGUUUAAGAAAUUAAACCAAAGUGUCAUGGUGCUACUGAGGUGCAGUUUCA